ACGCUCGACACCUACGAGGCAGCAGUAGGGAAUCUUCCACAAUGGACGCAAGUCUGAUGGAGCAACGCCGCGUGAGUGAAGAAGGUCUUCGGAUCGUAAAACUCUGUUGUUAGAGAAGAACACGAGUGAGAGUAACUGUUCAUUCGAUGACGGUAUCUAACCAGCAAGUCACGGCUAACUACGUGCCAGCACGCCGUACGGUACGUUACUGAGGGCCGGGUCGGUCGACGGAACGGACGC
rnacentral:rRNA from 1 species